AUCGUCCUGUGGUGGAUUCUGAGAUGUUGGGUUAAGUCCCGCAACGAGCGCAACCCUUGUAUUAGGAGCCAGCAGUACGGCUGGGCACUCUAGAGAGACUGCCAGGGAUAACCUGGAGGAAGGCGGGGAUGACGUCAAAUCAU
rnacentral:ncRNA from 1 species